UGGGGAAUCUUAGACAAUGGGCGCAAGCCUGAUCUAGCCAUGCCGCGUGAGUGACGAAGGCCCUAGGGUCGUAAAGCUCUUUCGCUGGGGAAGAUAAUGACUGUACCCAGUAAAGAAGUCCCGGCUAACUCCGUGCCAGCAGCCGCGGUAAUACGGAGGGGACUAGCGUUGUUCGGAAUUACUGGGCGUAAAGCGCGCGUAGGCGGACUAUUAAGUCAGAGGUGAAAUCCCGGGGCUCAACCCCGGAACUGCCUUUGAUACUGGUAGUCUUGAGUUCGAGAGAGGUGAGUGGAAUUCCGAGUGUAGAGGUGAAAUUCGUAGAUAUUCGGAGGAACACCAGUGGCGAAGGCGGCUCACUGGCUCGAUACUGACGCUGAGGUGCGAAAGCGUGGGGAGCAAACAGGAUUAGAUACCCCCGUAGUCC
rnacentral:rRNA from 1 species